rnacentral:rRNA from 1 species
GACAGAGGAUGCAAGCGUUAUCCGGAAUGAUUGGGCGUAAAGCGUCUGUAGGUGGCUUUUCAAGUCCGCCGUCAAAUCCCAGGGCUCAACCCUGGACAGGCGGUGGAAACUACCAAGCUGGAGUACGGUAGGGGCAGAGGGAAUUUCCGGUGGAGCGGUGAAAUGCAUUGAGAUCGGAAAGAACACCAACGGGCGAAAGCACUCUGCUGGGCCGACACUGACACUGAGAGACGAAAGGCUAGGGGAGCAAAUGGGACUUAGAAACCCUUGUAUGAGACCCAG